CGUAGGUGGCAAGCGUUGUCCGGAUUUAUUGGGUUUAAAGGGUGCGUAGGCGGCCUGGUAAGUAGGGGGUGAAAUCCUGCGGCUCAACCGCAGGGCUGCCUUCUAAACUGUCAGGCUGGAGCACGGUAGAGGCAGAUGGAAUUCCCGGUGUAGCGGUGGAAUGCGUAGAGAUCGGGAAGAACACCAGUGGCGAAGGCGGUCUGCUGGGCCGUUGCUGACGCUGAGGCGCGACAGCGUGGGGAGCAAACAGG
rnacentral:rRNA from 1 species